rnacentral:rRNA from 1 species
GAGUUUGAUCAUGGCUCAGAUUGAACGCUGGCGGCAGGCUUAACACAUGCAAGUCGAGCGGGGGAAGGUAGCUUGCUACCGGACCUAGCGGCGGACGGGUGAGUAAUGCUUAGGAAUCUGCCUAUUAGUGGGGGACAACAUCUCGAAAGGGAUGCUAAUACCGCAUACGUCCUACGGGAGAAAGCAGGGGAUCUUCGGACCUUGCGCUAAUAGAUGAGCCUAAGUCGGAUUAGCUAGUUGGUGGGGUAAAGGCCUACCAAGGCGACGAUCUGUAGCGGGUCUGAGAGGAUGAUCCGCCACACUGGGACUGAGACACGGCCCAGACUCCUACGGGAGGCAGCAGUGGGGAAUAUUGGACAAUGGGGGGAACCCUGAUCCAGCCAUGCCGCGUGUGUGAAGAAGGCCUUAUGGUUGUAAAGCACUUUAAGCGAGGAGGAGGCUACUUUAGUUAAUACCUAGAGAUAGUGGACGUUACUCGCAGAAUAAGCACCGGCUAACUCUGUGCCAGCAGCCGCGGUAAUACAGAGGGUGCGAGCGUUAAUCGGAUUUACUGGGCGUAAAGCGUGCGUAGGCGGCUUAUUAAGUCGGAUGUGAAAUCCCCGAGCUUAACUUGGGAAUUGCAUUCGAUACUGGUGAGCUAGAGUAUGGGAGAGGAUGGUAGAAUUCCAGGUGUAGCGGUGAAAUGCGUAGAGAUCUGGAGGACCAUACCGAUGGCGAAGGCAGCCAUCUGGCCUAAUACUGACGCUGAGGUACGAAAGCAUGGGGAGCAAACAGGAUUAGAUACCCUGGUAGUCCAUGCCGUAAACGAUGUCUACUAGCCGUUGGGGCCUUUGAGGCUUUAGUGGCGCAGCUAACGCGAUAAGUAGACCGCCUGGGGAGUACGGUCGCAAGACUAAAACUCAAAUGAAUUGACGGGGGCCCGCACAAGCGGUGGAGCAUGUGGUUUAAUUCGAUGCAACGCGAAGAACCUUACCUGGCCUUGACAUACUAGAAACUUUCCAGAGAUGGAUUGGUGCCUUCGGGAAUCUAGAUACAGGUGCUGCAUGGCUGUCGUCAGCGCGUGUCGUGAGAUGUUGGGUUAAGUCCCGCAACGAGCGCAACCCUUUUCCUUACUUGCCAGCAUUUCGGAUGGGAACUUUAAGGAUACUGCCAGUGACAAACUGGAGGAAGGCGGGGACGACGUCAAGUCAUCAUGGCCCUUACGGCCAGGGCUACACACGUGCUACAAUGGUCGGUACAAAGGGUUGCUACACAGCGAUUGUGAUGCUAAUCUCAAAAAGCCGAUCGUAGUCCGGAUUGGAGUCUGCAACUCGACUCCAUGAAGUCGGAAUCGCUAGUAAUCGCGGAUCAGAAUGCCGCGGUGAAUACGUUCCAGCCGGGCCUUGUACACACCGCCCGUCACACCAUGGGAGUUUGUUGCACCAGAAGUAGCUAGCCUAACUGCAAAGAGGGCGGUUACCACGGUGUGGCCGAUGACUGGGGUGAAGUCGUAACAAGGUA